AGCAAUUUCAGUGUUUACCCUUAAUUCAAGGGCUGCACAGGAUUUGUCACUGUCAAGGAGAUUGGUAUCAUCUGCAAAUAAUUUCGAGAAUAAUGAAGAACAAUGAGUUAUGUCAUUAACAUAUACUAAAAAUAACAAUGGACCCAAACAGCUACCUUGUGGAACUCCAUGAGUCACUGAUUUUAGAAGAGGAAUUACUCUUGCAAUUUUGAGAGAAGAAGGAAAUAUGCCGAGAGAGAGUGAGCAAUUGAAGAACUCUGUCAGACAUGGAGCGAUGAGGUCAGCAACUAAUUUAAGAAAGCGAGCUGGAAUAUUAUCUGGCCCAACUGCCUUCCUAUCCUUCAAAUUUUGAAUUUCUACCAACAAUUCAUUAGAAGUAGUCGGACUCAUAAAUAUAGACUGGCUCAGAGGAUUAUGAAGAAGUUGUUUGAAGUUACCCGAAUCAUUAGAAAACUUUUCUGAGAGGCUGGACCCUAUGGUUGAGAAGUACUCAUUAAAUUCAGUUGAUAUCGAGAAGUCAUCUUUGGUGAUACUGCCAUUUUUCAGAUAAAUUUCCUUAACUUUUUGUCUUGAUUUAUUAUGCGUGUGCGUAAUUUGGUUAACUAUUUGCCAUGUCGAUCUCGGGUUGCCUCUGUUUUGGGCAAUAAGGUUUUGGUAAUAAAUUUGCUUUGCUCUAUCUA